rnacentral:rRNA from 1 species
CACGUAGGGUGCGAGCGUUGUCCGGAAUUAUUGGGCGUAAAGAGCUCGUAGGCGGUGUGUCGCGUCGGCCGUGAAAACCUGCAGCUUAACUGUGGGCUUGCGGUCGAUACGGGCAUCACUGGAGUUCGGCAGGGGAGACUGGAAUUCCUGGUGUAGCGGUGAAAUGCGCAGAUAUCAGGAGGAACACCGGUGGCGAAGGCGGUUCUCUGGGCAUUACCUGACGCUGAGGAGCGAAAGUGUGGGGGAGCGAACAGG